CCCUUAGAUGUUCUGGGCCGCACGCGCGCUACACUGACGAAUGCAACGAGCUUAUAACCUUUGCCGAAAGGUCUGGGUAAUCUCCAAAUUUCGUCGUGAUGGGGAUAGAUUAUUGCAAUUAUUAAUCUUCAACGAGGAAUGCCUAGUAAGCGCAAGUCAUCAGCUUGCGUUGAUUACGUCCCUGCCCUUUGUACACACCGCCCGUCGCUCCUACCGAUUGAAUGGUCCGGUGAAGCGUUCGGACCGUGGCCUUUGGACGGUUCGCCGUCUGUUGGCUGCGGGAAGUUCGUUAAACCUUAUCAUUUAGAGGAAGGAGAAGUCGUANCA
rnacentral:rRNA from 1 species